GACGAACGCUGGCGGCGUGCUUAACACAUGCAAGUCGAACGGAAAGGCCCUGCUUUUGUGGGGUGCUCGAUUGGCGAACGGGUGAGUAACACGUGAGUAACCUGCCCUUGUCUUUGGGAUAACUCUAGGAAACUGGGGCUAAUACCGGAUAGGAGCUCCUGCUGCAUGGGGGGGGUUGGAAAGUUUCGGCGGUUGGGGAUGGACUCGCGGCUUAUCAGCUUGUUGGUGUGGUAGUGGCUUACCAAGGCUUUGACGGGUAGCCGGCCUGAGAGGGUGACCGGCCACAUUGGGACUGAGAUACGGCCCAGACGCCUACGGGAGGCAGCAGUGGGGAAUAUUGCACAAUGGGCGGAAGCCUGAUGCAGCAACGCCGCGUGCGGGAUGACGGCCUUCGGGUUGUAAACCGCUUUCGCCUGUGACGAGGCGUGAGUGACGGUAAUGGGUAAAGAAGCACCGGCUAACUACGUG
rnacentral:rRNA from 1 species